UACGAAGGGGGCUAGCGUUGCUCGGAAUCACUGGGCGUAAAGGGUGCGUAGGCGGGUUUUUAAGUCAGGGGUGAAAUCCUGGAGCUCAACUCCAGAACUGCCUUUGAUACUGAAGAUCUUGAGUCCGGGAGAGGUGAGUGGAACUGCGAGUGUAGAGGUGAAAUUCGUAGAUAUUCGCAAGAACACCAGAGGCGAAGGCGGCUCACUGGCCCGGUACUGACGCUGAGGCACGAAAGCGUGGGGAGCGAACAGG
rnacentral:rRNA from 1 species